CGAAACGAGAAGGCCGCCUGAUGUGAUGGCAUCACAUAACACCAAUUGUUCUACUGGAGAAAUAUCCUCAUAUUGAACAUCAUUUUGCAGCCAUUUAUGGUUCGACUUUGAACCGCCCGGAACUAUGCCUUUUUCAGCUAAUUCAAAUGCACCGCUAAGAACAGGC
rnacentral:antisense_RNA from 1 species